rnacentral:rRNA from 1 species
GACGAACGCUGGCGGCGUGCUUAACACAUGCAAGUCGAACGGAAAGGCCCUGCUUUUGUGGGGUGCUCGAGUGGCGAACGGGUGAGUAACACGUGAGUAACCUGCCCUUGACUUUGGGAUAACUUCAGGAAACUGGGGCUACUACCGGAUAGGAGCUCCUGCUGCAUGGUGGGGGUUGGAAAGUUUCGGCGGUUGGGGAUGGACUCGCGGCUUAUCAGCUUGUUGGUGGGGUAGUGGCUUACCAAGGCUUUGACGGGUAGCCGGCCUGAGAGGGUGACCGGCCACAUUGGGACUGAGAUACGGCCCAGACUGCUACGGGAGGCAGCAGUGGGGAAUAUUGCACAAUGGGCGGAAGCCUGAUGCAGCAACGCCGCGUGCGGGAUGACGGCCUUCGGGUUGUAAACCGCUUUCGCCUGUGACGAAGCGUGAGUGACGGUAAUGGGUAAAGAAGCACCGGCUAACUACGUG